GUCAGCUUGGCUGUCAGCUGCGAGAGUGCUUUGAACUUUUAGGUGGAAAAUGCCGGAAAGUAACUUCACAGAGUGGAGCGACAUUAGCGCGGUGCAGGAUGUGGAAUUCGUGUUUGGCGUCCUAGGCAUCCCGGUGACCACGGACAUCCCCCUUGCAUCCCAGGAGCUGGACAUCAGUUGACAUCUGUGCAGAAGAAUUGGAAAAUAAUGGUCUUCUUCUGGUGCUGUGACUUUGCUAGGAGACGUAGAUGCUGUUACUAAACAGGUAGGAACUUUUGCCUAGGUUUUUAGUUUGUGUGAACUGGUCUUUUAAGGAAUGGUUCUUGAAAUAUUAGUGUCUAUUUUAAACCAAAUUUGA